rnacentral:rRNA from 1 species
AAAUAGGGACUUCCCGCAAGGGACUGGAGUCGAGGUGCUGCAUGGCUGUCGUCAGCUCGUGUCGUGAGAUGUUGGGUUAAGUCCCGCAACGAGCGCAACCCUUGUCCUGUGUUGCCACCCCGCAAGGGAGCACUCUCAGGAGACCGCCAGCGAUAAGCUGGAGGAAGGUGGGGAUGACGUCAAGUCCUCAUGGCCUUUAUGUCCAGGGCUACACACGUGCUACAAUGGACGGUACA